UGGGGAAUAUUGCACAAUGGGGGAAACCCUGAUGCAGCGACGCCGCGUGAACGAAGAAGGUAUUCGUAUCGCAAAGUUCUGUCCUAUGGGAAGAUAAUGACAGUACCAUAGAAGAAAGCUCCGGCUAAAUACGUGCCAGCAGCCGCGGUAAUACGUAUGGAGCGAGCGUUGUCCGGAAUUAUUGGGCGUAAAGGGUACGCAGGCGGUUUAAUAAGUCGAAUGUUAAAGAUCGGGGCUCAACCCCGUAAAGCAUUGGAAACUGAUAAACUUGAGUAGUGGAGAGGAAAGUGGAAUUCCUAGUGUAGUGGUGAAAUACGUAGAUAUUAGGAGGAAUACCAGUAGCGAAGGCGACUUUCUGGACACAAACUGACGCUGAGGUACGAAAGCGUGGGGAGCAAACAGG
rnacentral:rRNA from 1 species